GAAUAAGGGGUGGGCAAGUCUGGUGUCAGCCGCCGCGGUAAAACCAGCACCUCAAGUGGUCAGGAUGAUUAUUGGGCCUAAAGCAUCCGUAGCCGGCUCUGUAAGUUUUCGGUUAAAUCUGUACGCUCAACGUACAGGCUGCCGGGAAUACUGCAAAACUAGGGAGUGGGAGAGGUAGACGGUACUCGGUAGGAAGUGGUAAAAUGCUUUGAUCUAUCGAUGACCACCUGUGGCGAAGGCGGUCUACCAGAACACGUCCGACGGUGAGGGAUGAAAGCUGGGGGAGCAAACCGGAUUAAAUACCCGGGUAGUCCCAGCUGUAAACUAUGCAAACUCAGUGAUGCAUUGGCUUGUGGCCAAUGCAGUGCUGCAGGGAAGCCGUUAAGUUUGCCGCCUGGGAAGUACGUACGCAAGUAUGAAACUUAAAGGAAU
rnacentral:rRNA from 1 species